GCAAUCAUUUCUCCUUGACAGCUUACUACUCAUCUGCGUCAUUCUCUGUGCGUCAUCUCCUGUGAAUCACUCUUGCUGCCCACACUUUCUCUUCUAUAAAUCCGAACUCCCUUAUGCAACAUAAAUUCGCACCUCUCAAUUACUAAGCUUCCUCAUUUCUCUCUUCUCCUUCUCUUCUUAUUUUCUUUCUUUUUGUUUCUUGCUCUUUUCUUUUCUGUCUCGGUGCACGAGAGAAACUGAGAUUAAGAGAGAAAGAAAGAUGAGAGCUGAGGGAGAGAGAGAUCGGGAGAAUAAGAGAAAUUGAGAGUCCGAGAGAGAGAGAGAGAGAGAUUCAGAGAAUGUUAGAGGGAGGAGCCGAGAGUGAAACCCAGAGAAGAAGCCGGGAGAGGCCGACCCUUGGUGGAUUUCAGGUGAUCGUCACCGGUGGAGCAGAGAGACACUGAGGACCCGUAGCAGAUCGGGCCGAACCAGUGAACCCAGACCAAUCGGAGGUCCGAAACUCCAUGGGCCUCCGGUGGGUCAUCCAAGGGAGCGAUUUCCGGGGGUCUAAAGACGAAUUCCGGCAGAAUUUUCCGGUGGAUUUUCUGUAUUGAGCAAAAAUUCCCAUAUAUGAUGAUUUGAGAAACUGCACCAAAGACCUGCGGGGCGUUACAGCUGAAAACUGACUAGAUUGGAGUAGCAGUGUGACUAUUUAAUGGGUUCCAAUCAGCCCGGACCUAAGGCGAAAGAUUCAUUGGCUGACAGCUUAUUUUCCACCACUACGUCCCCUUUUACUGACCGGAUAAUGUUGUGUCGGCUCCCGAGUAAGUUCAAAAUGCUUGAAAUACCUGUGUACACGGGGCUGGGGGAUCCCAUUGAGCAUUUAGCAGGUUUCCGUGCACACACGGUACUGCAAACGACACCGAACGAAGUUGCGUGUCGGGCUUUCCCCCUCACUUUGGCGGGGGGGAGCUCCAGAAUGGUUCAGAACCCUGCCGCCUCGCUCGGUUCCGAACUUCGAGAGCUUUGCUAAGAAGUUUGCAUCUCAGUUUAUGGCUGGCAUCAUCCGGAAGAAGCCCACUCAGUAGUUGAUGACUAUUAAACAAGGCCCUCAGGAGUUGUUGAGAAGUUAUCUGCUCUGCUUCAAUCAGGAGAGGUUGGCUGCAGAGAGCCAAAAUGAACAGUUUAUCCAUUUUGCCAUAUACCAGGGCAUAAGGAAGAAUGGCACCCUUAUGGCAAAUUUAGCAUGGAGGCCAGCUGAGGGGUUGCAAAAGUUUUUGGAUCGAGCGGAAGAGUUUGUAAACCAGGAGGAGACUCUUCGCGCGUUCCGUGGGACUGAAGAAGUCGCGAAGUUGGAUUUUGCGACCGGAGGGAAGUCAAGGAAAAGAACAACCCAAGUCAGGAGAGAGAUCCCAGAACGCAGACCCAUCAAAAGGGUGGAGAAUUACAAUUGGACGCCUGUCAACGCCCCAGCAAAGGAGAUCCUUAUGGAAAUCAGAAAAGAUCCGGGCUAUAAGGACCCGUCCCCAAUAAAGGGCAGGCCACUUCCUUAUAAUCUUCACAAAUACUGCCACUACCAUGAUUCUUAUGGCCACUGGACUAAUACCUGCAUCGCCCUGAAGGAGAUGAUCAAAAAGUGUAGUGCUUCAAAGUGCCGUAUGUUUCUUCUUGGUUUUGGAAGAGCCAAAACAAUAGAGAAAAGAAAAGGGUGCUACCGUGUGAGAGAUAAAAAAGAUAGAGACCAACCGCCGUCUUAUCCCAGCAAAAAAAGACCUUCUAUAUAUGGAAAAGAUUCAAGAGCUCAUAUAUAAUUGAACUACUGGAGAAAUAUCAGACCAAAGAGUAAGUCCAAGCUUUUGUUUGGCAUGUAGUACUCGUGGAUCAGCAUUUGUUCAUCCCUCUCAAUGCAAAAUUUCAAAAGUCGCACAAGAUUUACCUGUUGCAGUUUCGCAGCCGGACCUGUAGAGGCAUAUAAAGGCAAGCCCAACACCAACUUUCCAGCAGACAAGCCCCUAGCAAUCCAUGCAACAAUGCCAUAAUCCGUGUUAGCAUUGCUUGAUGGGUCAUCAA